rnacentral:lncRNA from 1 species
AAGCAAAGCCAAAGAGAUUAGAAACCAAGUAGACACAUUCUUUUAUAGAAUAGAAAAUAAAUUAGUUUUAACUAACAAUUAGGCACUUAAAAUGUAAAUGUAAAAUGGCAUUUUGAAGUACAAACUAUAGUUAACACGCCCAAAUUCCUCCUGAAAUGUUUCAACAAACACAAAAGCACAAGCAUGGAAAACAUAUUUCUAAACUAAGAGAAUUUCCUCUUUUGAAAAAAAGAACCUGAAUUCAAAUCUGUACGACAGACCAAUGAUUAAGGUACCAGUGGGUAGGAGAAAAGAGUUUCUGAAAUUUACAUAUUUAAUUAAAACAUAAGCAUUUAAUAAAACUAUUACAAUAAUAUACAGUAUAUAUCAUAAUGAAAAAUAUAUGUCAGGAAAAUAACGAAUUCUAGACUUAGAAUUUUACUUUACAACAAGGCACUUAACACAUUGAAACAGUACAGUAAAUUUCCGAAAGAUGCAAUUAGCUACCUCUCAAACCUUGUAAUAUUUCUUUUGUGAAUAUAGCAAAACAUAACCAUACAUUUUGC